AUAACCUCUUUUCAAAGGUCUCAAAAAUUUCCUUAAAUUUCAAACUAGAAUAUCUCCAUAUAUCAAUUUUCUAAUGGCGGUUGCAUGAUUAAGGUUUCAAACGCUAUAAAUUGGGGUUUAAUAGGAGACUUUCAAACAACAAAAAGAACCCAAAAGAGAGAGAAAUGUACAUGCUAUGACUAAAAAAGUUAUGAAAGGAAUUAUUGUGAUGAUGAUGGUGUUGGCGAUCCUUGUUCAAGCUUUGGUGAAAGCAGACAACUCUUUUUUUUCCCAUGUCUCUCCCAAUCAUCCCCCCUCUCUCACUCCUUUUCCGCAUUCCCUGCCAAUUAUCUCCCUCUCUGCAUAUGAGAUGGAUGCUAAACCUCGAAGGAUCAAUAUUCAUUCACGGAGAAAAAAUACUCCCAAGGAAACAGAAAUUCCUGGUUCAAAAAUAACAAAAGAAGAAAUGAAAUGUUUGGAUGAUUGCGAAGCAAAAAUAUUAAGAAUAGGACGACUUUAUGUUGGCCUUCUCAAGAUUAUCUAUGAACUGUGUAUCAGAAAGUGCCAUAGAUAUGCAUAGCCAUGACCAUAAUUGGACGUGCUUGCAUGCAAUACGACCGGAUCAAGGUUGAUACACAUACACAGAAGUUUCAUGUCGGCGUUUUUUAAUGUACGUGGCAGAUGCAAAUAAAGUUGAAAUCCAUGUGGGAAAAUGCGAUAGCAAAGGUGCAUGGAAAGAAUAAUUAUUAGCUUUUUUUCAAUGUACUGGCCGGUAGAUGCAAAUAAUGGUGAAAUGUGUUGAAACAAGGAGUCUUGCACUAGAAAGACUCUAUUUAAUUAAUAAGAGAUGUAUUAUCUCAUUAAGACUUUAGUAGUUCUAUUCCAUUAGCUAUCUUGUAUUCAUGUAUUCCAUUUCAUUUCAUUUCUUCUACUUCCAUGUAAUCAUCUAUAUAAGUAGGUUAGUUGAUCGAUUAAUAAAUUAAAUAUAUGAGAAGUUAAUUA